rnacentral:lncRNA from 1 species
AUGGGAAUAUAUCUUCAUGGUUUAAAGGGAAUCUUGGGAGAAGAAAAAUGUAAUGACAGGAAAAAGUGUGUUUCCUAUCUACCUCACAUUUGGACCUGUAUGAAAGAUUCAACCUUGCUGCCAUGGGAAGUUUUUCUCAAGGAAGAAAUACUUUUGAAGGAAGAAAAAAUUUGCUGGGAUAAUAACUUUGUGCUGGAGCAAAUGGGCGAUCUGUGGACUAACCCGAGAUAUGUGGAUCCAGCAACAGACAAGAAUUUUUCAGCCCACAUAAGGGAAGUCAUUUUUUGCAGUUGUAUUACUAGACAAAUCUCAAAUCCUGGUAAGUGGGAAAGAAACAGUUAUUGUAAAUUUGAGCUAACUAUAGCCAAUUUUACUCCUAGAAAAUAAAACUAUCAAGAACAGGAUUUGAUAUAAUUCUUUCGACUCUCUCAUUCUUUCCUGAGAUCUUCACCUUAACUUCACUGCUCACGGCUGUGCAGAUUUCCAGUGUCUGCUGAGCUUUAGUCCAAUGGCCUGCGUCUACCUUGUUUGAAAGAUUAGGCCAAGUUGAUGAACGGAGGCAGCUUGGAUUGGGCUGUUGUCUGAACAUGGUGACAGCUGUCACUGUGCCCUCCCCAACACCUAACUUCUCUACCAAAGGAAAGUGAAUUUGCCACGGAAGCUGAUUUGGGCAUUGUUUGGUUGAGUCUCAUUUCAGUCAUAUGUACAAUUACUUUAGAAAUUCUUCCACAUCUCAUCUGACAAGUCAUUUGGGUUUCUAUUUAAUGUGAAGUCUCAAAUAGUUUAGAUAAUUUAUUAUUAGUAAAUAACUAUUCUCCAAAAUGAGCUACAGAAAGUUUUUAGAUAUGAGGUAAAGAUUCAGAAAUAGUUACUAGUUCUGGACCUGAAAUAAUAAGGGAACAGUUUAAAUAUCAAAUUAUGUUGCCUUAUUAAAGAUAAGUUGUAUCACUCUCUCGAGCUCAUUCAGUUCCAAUUUAGCCAUUUUCCAUUUAAAACCAGGUUAAUCUUAUUUUGUCAAUUGAUAACUCAUUCUAGGAAAUGCAUUUUGUAUGCAUAUAUAUUCAAAAACACAAAUACGUAUAUAAUAUAUAUUACAUAUGGUUUACGUAUAUACACACACAUAUCACGUAUAUGCGUA